UACGUAGGGGGCAAGCGUUGUCCGGAAUCAUUGGGCGUAAAGAGCGUGUAGGCGGCUCGGUAAGUCCGCUGUGAAAGUCCAGGGCUCAACCCUGGAAUGCCGGUGGAAACUGUCGAGCUAGAGUCCGGAAGAGGCGAGUGGAAUUCCCAGUGUAGAGGUGAAGUUCGUAGAUAUUGGGAAGAACACCGGUGGCGAAGGCGGCUCACUGGCUCAUUACUGACGCUCAGGCGCGAUAGCGUGGGGAUCAAACAGG
rnacentral:rRNA from 1 species